GGGGAUGCACCGGAUUUGAUUGGGCGGUGGCGUUGCUGUAAGCAUACCGAAGUUUCCCAUUCUUCGUAAAAAGGGGAAUUUAAAAUUAAAUGCUAAUAAUAACAAUUACGCAUACGCUGCUUAAUAUAUAGUAGCUGUUCUUUGCGAAAGCGUCGCCGAGUCGUAAAGGGCAUCAUUUUAGGCGAAUCUGUAACUUUUGGUUUGAUUGCGCUGAAUUUUGCAGUACUAAGCAAUACACGGUUUGCAGUAUUUGUCCGUUGAGACUGUAAGCAAGGGAUAAAAACGGAAUAAGUAUGUAGAAAGCACAAAAGACCCGUUCAAGACGAGGGUUCGACUCCCUCCAUCUCCACCA
rnacentral:tmRNA from 1 species